rnacentral:rRNA from 1 species
UACGGGGGGGGUAAGCGUUGUUCGGAAUUACUGGGCGAAAGGGCUCGUAGGCGGCCAACUAAGUCAUACGUGAAAUCCCCUCAGUUAACUGGGGAACUGCGUGUGAUACUGGAUGGCUUGGAUUUGGGAGAGGGAUGCGGAAUUCCAGGUGUAGCGGUGAAAUGCGUAGAUAUCAGGAGGAACACCAGCGGCGAAGGCGGCGCUCUGGGCUGGCACUG